AGCCGAAUAGCUCAGUGGUAAGAGCAGUUGUCCGGCAAGCGAAAGACUCGGGUUCGCUUCUCGAUUCAGCGA
rfam:Camponotus floridanus CamFlo_1.0_1.contig138, whole genome shotgun sequence.